rnacentral:rRNA from 1 species
UACGAAGGGGGCUAGCGUUGUUCGGAUUCACUGGGCGUAAAGGGUGCGUAGGCGGUUGGGUAAGUCUGACGUGAAAUCUCCAAGCUCAACUUGGAAAUGGCGUCGGAUACUAUUCGGCUGGAGGAAUGGAGGGGAGACUGGAAUUCUCGGUGUAGCAGUGAAAUGCGUAGAUAUCGAGAGGAACACCAGUGGCGAAGGCGAGUCUCUGGACAUUUCCUGACGCUGAGGCACGAAAGCCAGGGGAGCAAACGGG